GCCGAGUGGGCAGGCGAGGGGCGAGAGGGGUUGGGACGCUAAGGGUUAAGUCCCAACCCGGGCAAUGGAAAGGACUCGCGAGUUCGCCGCCUGGGUGGAAUUCUAGCCUCCCAGGGCGGCCGCCAGCCCCCGCCGCCUGAGCUGCACUUGCUCCAUUGCCUGGCCCACGAGCAACAGGCUCAGAGGCCGGGCUUUCCCCGGAGCUAGUGCUCCUUCUGCCACUGGUGCCUGGGUGCGUCUGGACAGCCUGCGAGUGGGCCGGUGCGUCCCGCCAGUGCGUGCUCUGCAGCCUGACAAAGCUCGGCAAUUGCAAUAAAUUCAACUAUUGGGCCAGGUCCAGGACCUCCUGUAUAAAGCAGGCAUCCUCCAACUUGAUGAAUAUGAGUCUGGAACAAAAUUAAAAGGGUCUGUGAAACCUGAAAGGCCUGGGAGCCUCUGAUCUGUUGGAUAGCUUUACUUGAAUAAACCGAUGGUUCUUGUUGUGAAUUGUACCUCAAGACUCAGAGGGGACCCAGAGAAGUACCAUUGCUUAUCCUUAACUAUGUCUUUCACCUCUGCUGUCUAGAGGGGGAUCUCAGAGAGAAGAAACUCCCUUUCCUACUCAGAGUCCAGCACAUUAUUGCAGUAUCAUCAAUUUGGAAAAAAAGAUGAGGGAACACCACCGAGCUAGAGUUUUCUUUCUGAGAAAAAGAGCUUGGUGAAAUUCAGAGCCAACUCUUUCAGCAAGAGGAUUGUUUGUUCACUGCUUGGCUGCAGGUGGACGUGUGAUUGUGAAGACUUCAGAGGGACACUGUGAUCCUCCCUCUGCUUCAGAGAGCCCCAGUCCAGCUUCUGCCUGAUGUUUGCAGAGGGGACCGAAGAGCUUCCAGUUCUCACAUCUCUCUCUGCAAACAGCAGUACUUCCUACCACUUGUGGGUUUCCAUCGCUCCCCUGUACCCUAUUAGCUUGGUGUAUAAAUAGACUCAUGGGUGUGCAAAGGAAAUAAUCACAAUCUGAGGGGGCCCAGCAGAGUCUCUGAGUUAAAACAAGCAGAGGGUGGGGGGAGAGAGAGAAGUGA